rnacentral:rRNA from 1 species
AAUAGAUACCCGGGUAGUCCACGCCGUAAACGGUGGGUACUAGGUGUGGGUUUCCUUCCUUGGGAUCCGUGCCGUAGCUAACGCAUUAAGUACCCCCGCCUGGGGAGUACGGCCGCAAGGCUAAAACUCAAAGGAAUUGACGGGGGGCCCGCACAAGCGGCAGAGCAUGUGGAUUAAUUCGAUGCAACGCGAAGAACCUUACCUGGGUUUGACAUGCACAGGACGCUGGUAGAGAUAUCAGUUCCCUUGUGGUCUGUGUGCAGGUGGUGCAUGGCUGUCGUCAGCUCGUGUCGUGAGAUGUUGGGUUAAGUCCCGCAACGAGCGCAACCCUUGUCUCAUGUUGCCAGCACGUGAUGGUGGGGACUCGUGAGAGACUGCCGGGGUCAACUCGGAGGAAGGUGGGGAUGACGUCAAGUCAUCAUGCCCCUUAUGUCCAGGGCUUCACACAUGCUACAAUGGCCGGUACAAAGGGCUGCGAUGCCGUGAGGUUAAGCGAAUCCUUUAAAGCCGGUCUCAGUUCGGAGUCGGGGU